UACGAAGGGGGCUAGCGUUGCUCGGAAUUACUGGGCGUAAAGCGCCCGUAGGCGGAUUGUUAAGUCGGGGGUGAAAUCCUGGAGCUCAACUCCAGAACUGCCUUCGAUACUGGCGAUCUAGAGUCCGGGAGAGGUGAGUGGAACUGCGAGUGUAGAGGUGAAAUUCGUAGAUAUUCGCAAGAACACCAGUGGCGAAGGCGGCUCACUGGCCCGGUACUGACGCUGAGGUGCGAAAGCGUGGGGAGCAAACAGG
rnacentral:rRNA from 1 species